GACGAACGCUGGCGGCGUGCUUAACACAUGCAAGUCGAGCGGUAAGGCCCUUUCGGGGGUACGACGAGCGGCGAACGGGUGAGUAACACGUGGGUGACCUGCCCUCAGCUCUGGGAUAAGCCUGGGAAACCGGGUCUAAUACCGGAUAUGACUCCAUGACGCAUGUUGUGGGGUGGAAAGCCUUGUGCGGCUGAGGAUGGGCCCGCGGCCUAUCAGCUUGUUGGUGGGGUGANGGCCUACCAAGGCGACGACGGGUAGCCGGCCUGAGAGGGCGACCGGCCACACUGGGACUGAGACACGGCCCAGACUCCUACGGGAGGCAGCAGUGGGGAAGUCUUGCGCAAUGGGCGAAAGCCUGACGCAGCGACGCCGCGUGAGGGAUGACGGCCUCGGUU
rnacentral:rRNA from 1 species